rnacentral:rRNA from 1 species
UACGAAGGGGGCUAGCGUUGCUCGGAAUCACUGGGCGUAAAGGGUGCGUAGGCGGGUCUUUAAGUCAGGGGUGAAAUCCUGGAGCUCAACUCCAGAACUGCCUUUGAUACUGAAGAUCUUGAGUUCGGGAGAGGAGAGUGGAACUGCGGGGUGUAGAGGUGAAAUUCGUAGAUAUUCGCAAGAACACCAGUGCGAAGGCGGCUCACUGGCCCCGAUACUGACGCUGAGGCACGAAAGCGUGGGGGGAGCAAACAGGAUUAGAUACCCUGGUAGUCCACGCCGUAAACGAUGAAUGCCAGCCGUUAGUGGGUUUACUCACUAGUGGCGCAGCUAACGCUUUAAGCAUUCCGCCUGGGGAGUACGGUCGCAAGAUUAAAACUC